UUACGGGAGGCAGCAGUGAGGAAUUUUGGACAAUGGGCGAAAGCCUGAUCCAGCAAUGCCGCGUGCAGGAAGAAGGCCUUCGGGUUGUAAAUUGCUUUUGUACGGAACGAAAAGGCUCUUUCUAAUAAAGAGGGCCCAUGACGGUACCGUAAGAAUAAGCACCGGCUAACUACGUGCCAGCAGCCGCGGUAAUACGUAGGGUGCGAGCGUUAAUCGGAAUUACUGGGCGUAAAGCGUGCGCAGGCGGUUCUAUAAGACAGAUGUGAAAUCCCCGGGCUCAACCUGGGAAUGGCAUUUGUGACUGUAGAGCUAGAGUACGGUAGAGGGGGAUGGAAUUCCGCGUGUAGCAGUGAAAUGCGUAGAUAUGCGGAGGAACACCGAUGGCGAAGGCAAUCCCCUGGACCUGUACUGACGCUCAUGCACGAAAGCGUGGGGAGCAAACAGGAUUAGAUACCCCAGUAGUCCU
rnacentral:rRNA from 1 species